UGUGAAUAUGAGGGUAGUGUGAGGGAGUGUAAACAGGAGGUCCAGGGUGUGAAUAUGAGGGUAGUGUGAGGGAGUGUAAACAGGAGGUCCAGGGUGUGAAUAUGAGGGUAGUGUGAGGGAGUGUAAACAGGAGGUCCAGGGUGUGAAUAUGAGGGUAGUGUGAGGGAGUGUAAACAGGAGGUCCAGGGUGUGAAUAUGAGGGUAGUGUGAGGGAGUGUAAACAGGAGGUCCAGGGUGUGAAUAUGAGGGUAGUGUGAGGGAGUGUAAACAGGAGGUCCAGGGUGUGAAUAGUAGGGAACAUGAGGGUAGUGUGAGGGUGAGUGUGAGGAAUGGUUAACUGGAAGGAAGGGAAGGGAAGGAAGAGAACAAAGGGAGGAAAGAGAGGGAAGGGAGGAAUUCAUAAGAGGACCACAUCGUAAGUAAGAAUGUAAAUAGUGUAAAUAUGUGUAAAGAACAUGACCAUGGGGGUAAAUGAGACCCCAAAUAAAUCAAGUCGACCCCAUGUAUAGAGAGGAGCGUUAAUAAAUGUAAAUACGAGUAGAGUGUAAAUGAAUGUAAAUAAGUGGACCAAAGUGUAAAAUGAAGACCCAAAAUGUGAAGAAUGAGGACCACAAUGGAAAGUAGAGCAUAACUAAGUAAAUAUGCGUGUAAAUCUGUAUAAAUAAGACCAAUGUAAAAGAGGCCCAAGAUGUAAAUAAGGAGAAGCACAAUGGAAAGAAGAGCAUAAAUAAGUGCAAAUAUUCGUAUAAAUAAGAGGACCAGUGUAGAGACCCAAAAUGGAAACAAAGAGGACCGAAGUGGAAAGAAGAGAACCACAAAAGAGUUAACUUGAUUACUGGUCCUGUGGCGAAAAAAGAUGACACGUUGCCACAUCCCGAGUCAUCCCUAACCAUUACCAUUACGUCGGCCAUUAAGUGUGACCCUGAAGACAGAUGUUACAGAGGCGAGGGAGAGGAACACAGGCGACCAAAUCCCUGGGGCUAAAGUCGGUAUUGUUAGACACUUCCGCAACCCCAACAUCAACUAUUUCCAGACGCCAAAAAAGAUCAGUCGGGUUGAACAUAAGAACAUAAGAACGUAGGAGUCUGCAAGAGGCCGGUAGGCCUGUACAAGGCAGCUCCUUUGAACCUAAGCUCCCGUGAAUCUACCCCCACCUAUUAUCACUGUCCAUGAAUUUAUCUAAUCUAUUUUUGAAUGUGACAAUUGUAUUGGCACUCACCACGUGACUGCUAAGCCUAUUACACUCAUCCACCACUCUGUUAGUAAACCAAUUUUUGCCUAUGUCCCUGUUGAAUCUGAAUUUAUCCAGUUUAAACCCAUUACUACGUGUCCUACCCGGUUCUCUUACCAACAAAACCUUACGAAUACCCCCCUUAUUAAAGCCCUUCAUCCAUUUAUAAACCUCGAUCAUGUCUCCACGCACCCUUCGCCUUUCUAGAGAAUGCAAGUUUAACUGUUUGAGUCUUUCCUCGUAUGGCUGGGCAGGGCUGAAUCAUCUUAAUUAGUCAUCCUCCUCUGCACCGAUUCUAACAUGUUGAUAUCCAUUACUCUUGUUUGGGAAAUAAAUGAAAAAGAGAAGACAUUUGUGUACCAUUCUGUAUAGAGAGCCACGAGGAAAGUAUAUUAUAUUUCGACAAACAUAAAAAGAAAAUUACUAUAUGAGUGAAUCACAGUUGUUUGGGAGAGAGAGAGAGAGAGAAGACAUUUGUGCAUCAUUCUGUAAUCUGCAAAAAGAGGGCAGGAAGAAAAGUAUGUAAUAUUUCUUCCUACAAGCACAGAAGAAAAUCAAGGGAGUGAAUUACAGUUUGAGAAGAAAAAGCAAAAAAAGAAGUACUACUAUAUUUACGAGUCUUGAAAGGAACCUCCAUCAGCAUUAGUUACAUUUAUACUAAUCAAUUCUUACGGUAACAUUUUUUUUCUCUCUUUACCGACAAAUAAUUCAUUACAGUCAAGCGAUCAGCCGAACCAAACAUUUUCCAUAGUCCGGGUUAAAAUACCGACAUAGAUACAGAGAAAACAAAACCAAUUUUAUGGGCAACUUUAGCAAAUACCGAUAUAGAUACAAACACAGAAAGCGUGAUAAUUUUAUGGGCAACUUUAGCAAAUGUAUUCAAACGCACACUAAAAUAAAUACGUCAUUUACUGAAAGACAUUUGGCGAGCCGACCAAGAACGCAUUGGAUAAACAGAGAGAGAGAGAGAGAGAGAGAGAGAGAGAGAGAGAGAGGUAAAGUUGAGGUAGCUGCGCUUGGCCGCGGUGCUCGUCUCCGUCGCAUUGGCCCUUGAGCCUGUAGUGGGAAGAAUCCAUUGACUCGGGACACAGGGCCAGUUUGACAUCCAGGUUGCCACACCAUACCUUCCGCAGGUUUCCCCAUUCAUUCAUUUAUUAACCAGCUCGAACGGGAGUCUGUAGUGUACAGCUGGAUGGGCUAAUUCCCCGUACCAGGAUUCGAACCAAGGCCCGCGAAUUCGAAGCUGGCAACGCUAACCACUGCACGAUGGAGGCGUUGGCGACUUCAGAAUAAAACACUCAUUUCCAU